ACAGGGCUCCAUAGCUUCCAUUUUUAAAACCUGGGAACCAGAAGCAGAGACCGGGCCACCCUGAAGUUCCGUGCGUGCGGAGGGGAACGGGUUGGCAUGAUGAAGCACCUUUCAGACCUCAGCCUGCAGUCCAUCCUGAAGAGACAUCAGGGCAGGAACUCAAGGCAAAAACCUGGAGGCAUGGACUGAAGCAGAAGCCAGAGGAGCGCUGCUUGCUGGCUUGUGCUCAAAGCUCACCUUUCUUUCUUUCAUCUGUUUUUCUUGCUGCUCCCAGGACCACCUGCCCAGAAGUAACAUCACCAACAAUAGCUGGGUGCUCCCGCAUUAAUCCAUAAUCACAAAAAUGCCUCCCAGACGAGCCUACAGUCUGAUGGAGACACUUCUCAAAUAAAGCUUCUUCUUUCUAAA